rnacentral:rRNA from 1 species
AUACGGAGGGUGCAAGCGUUACUCGGAAUCACUGGGCGUAAAGCGCGCGCAGGCGGCUAUUUAAGUUGGAUGUGAAAGCCUACGGCUCAACCGUAGAACUGCAUCCAAAACUACUAGACUUGAGUGUGGGAGAGGAAGAUGGAAUUAGUUGUGUAGGGGUAAAAUCCGUAGAGAUAACUAGGAAUACCAAAAGCGAAGGCAAUCUUCUGGAACACUACUGACGCUGAGGCGCGAAAGCGUGGGGAGCAAACAGGAUUAGAAACCCUAGUAGUCC